rnacentral:rRNA from 1 species
AACGAACGCUGGCGGCAUGCCUAACACAUGCAAGUCGAACGAGACCGUCGGGCCUAGUGGCGCACGGGUGCGUAACGCGGGGGAACCUGCCCGUAGGUUCGGAGUACCUCCCCGAAAGGGGUGCUAAUACCGGAUAAUGUCUUCGGACCAAAGAUUUAUCGCCGUUGGAUGGGCCCGCGUUGGAUUCGCUGGUUGGUAGGGUAAAAGCCUACCAAGGCGACGAUCCAUAGCUGGUCGGAGAGGAGGAUCAGCCACACUGGGACUGAGACACGGCCCAGACUCCUACGGGAGGCAGCAGUGGGGAAUAUUGGACGAGGGGCGCUAGCCUGAUCCAGCCAUGCCGCGUGAGUGAUGAAGGCCUUAGGGUUGUAAAGCUCUUUUACCCGGGAUGAUAAUGACAGUACCGGGAGAAUAAGCUCCGGCUAACUCCGUG